UAGGUUUAUGUUAUUAUGGAAAAACAUACAGCGAGAAAAUAGGAAGAAACAACAUUUAUUAUUAUGUACAAAUUAAAUCACAAAUAAGUAAUAUGAACUAAUAAAAGAUUAUAAGAGUAAUAAUAACGAACACCAAACAUUUGUAUUUUUCAUAUUCCAAACUGUAUACCUACUAGUGCACACCCUCCAUAUUAUCGUCAGUAAAGAUUUAAUGUUUUCAUAAUUACUCCACGAUAAUGUAGAAUAAAGGACAAUUUGAGCAAUAUUUUUCGUAUUGCCAAUUACAAUCACUUUUUGCAGCUGCCUGUCAUUGCUUUAUUAAAUUUGUUCAGCAAUUACUGAAAAUGUAAUUGUUGAAUAUUAUGAAUCAAAUUCAAUAUUUAAUUUAAUAAAUAUAUUGAAAUAUUUUUUCAGAAUUCAGAUGAUGAAUCCGGCUCUCACAUCGAUUCAUCAGAAAGUGAUGAAAUUGAAUCAAAAUGUAUUUCAACCGAUUCUAUUAAACCAGAUGGCAAAAUCAUGAUCGAUAAUGAUGAUGGGCAUGAAAUAUUUUGGAGCGUAGAAAAAACCAGCACUCAAAAUUUGAACAAUUUUAUUAAAUCAGAAGAAAUUGUAGGUGAAAAUGAGAAUAUUUUGACAGAAAAAGGAUCCACUGUAAAAUCUAAAAAAAAGCAACAGACAAAAUGCGGGAAUCUAUUCAGUUAGUACGUCCGCAGAGUUUGGAGAUUUUUAUCAUGUCGAAAGUGAAAAGAAUAAUAUUAUUGGCAAUAGAAGCAAAUAAUUUCGAUAAAAUAGUUUAUUUCAGAUUUAUUUAUUUUUUAUUCUGAUUUAGAAAAAGUUUUUCUUUAAUUUAUUUGUUGUUUGUUUGCAUUAAGAAAAGAAAAAUGGUUUUUCUUUGGAUGGAUUUAUACAAAUCAAGUCGUGCAUGUGCAACUUGAUUUGUAUAAAUCCAUUCGAACUCAAACUUUAAACGAC